rnacentral:rRNA from 1 species
UACAGAGGGGGCAAGCGUUGUUCGGAAUUACUGGGCGUAAAGGGCGCGUAGGCGGCGUGCUAAGUCGAACGUGAAAUCCCCGGGCUCAACCCGGGAACUGCGUCCGAGACUGGCAUGCUUGAAUCCGGGAGAGGGAUGUGGAAUUCCAGGUGUAGCGGUGAAAUGCGUAGAUAUCUGGAGGAACAUCGGUGGCGAAGGCGGCAUCCUGGACCGGUAUUGACGCUGAGGCGCGAAAGCCAGGGGAGCAAACGGG